UGGAUCCAGACUUUGAUUAUGGCUCAGGAUGAACGCUAGCUACAGGCUUAACACAUGCAAGUCGAGGGGAAACGACAUCGAAAGCUUGCUUUUGAUGGGCGUCGACCGGCGCACGGGUGAGUAACGCGUAUCCAACCUGCCCACCACUUGGGGAUAACCUUGCGAAAGUAAGACUAAUACCCAAUGAUAUCUCUAGAAGACAUCUGAAAGAGAUUAAAGAUUUAUCGGUGAUGGAUGGGGAUGCGUCUGAUUAGCUUGUUGGCGGGGUAACGGCCCACCAAGGCUACGAUCAGUAGGGGUUCUGAGAGGAAGGUCCCCCACAUUGGAACUGAGACACGGUCCAAACUCCUACGGGAGGCAGCAGUGAGGAAUAUUGGUCAAUGGACGAGAGUCUGAACCAGCCAAGUAGCGUGCAGGAUGACGGCCCUAUGGGUUGUAAACUGCUUUUAUAAGGGAAUAAAGUGAGUCUCGUGAGACUUUUUGCAUGUACCUUAUGAAUAAGGACCGGCUAAUUCCGUGCCAGCAGCCGCGGUAAUACGGAAGGUCCGGGCGUUAUCCGGAUUUAUUGGGUUUAAAGGGAGCGUAGGCCGGAGAUUAAGCGUGUUGUGAGAUGUAGAUGCUCAACAUCUGCACUGCAGCGCGAACUGGUUUCCUUGAGUACGCACAAAGUGGGCGGAAUUCGUGGUGUAGCGGUGAAAUGCUUAGAUAUCACGAAGAACUCCGAUUGCGAAGGCAGCUCACUGGAGCGCAACUGACGCUGAAGCUCGAAAGUGCGGGUAUCGAACAGGAUUAGGUACCCUGGUAGUCCGCACGGUAAACGAUGGAUGCCCGCUGUUGGUCUGAAUAGGUCAGCGGCCAAGCGAAAGCAUUAAGCAUCCCACCUGGGGAGUACGCCGGCAACGGUGCAACUCAAAUGAAUUGACGGA
rnacentral:rRNA from 1 species